rnacentral:lncRNA from 1 species
AGGGGGUGUGCCCACAGUUUCGUGUAAAUGCCUGCAGAGGCCAGAGGAUGACCCUGGAUCCUUUGGAACUGGAGUUACAGGCGGUUGUGAGCUGUCUGAUGCUGGGAACUGAACUUGGGUCCUCUGUAAGACAAAUUCCUGGUUUCUGAGUUUUGGUUCCUCAUCCAUGAAAGAGAAGCAGUCAUGGGUUUGUAAAGUCUUUUGUCACCCAAUCGUGGUCAUUCCUACAAACCAGUCACAGCCUCUAUGACACCAUCAAAAGGAGAUUUCAGAACGAGCUAGAAUGCAUCACCUGGCAGAAAGCAGCUUGGUGACGACCUGGAGCUAGUUGUGGGGGAAUAAAUGACUGAAAAGGGCUCCCGGAACCUCAGGGGAGGGGUGUGGUGAUGCCCAGGUGGCUGUGUACCUUUGUGAGAAACAUACCUUACUGAGCGAGCACUUAAAAUGCCUGCUGUGUCUUGUGUGUAUAAACUACCCCUGGG